rnacentral:rRNA from 1 species
CCCUUAGAUGUUCUGGGCCGCACGCGUGCUACAAUGAGUGGAUCAGCGGGUCAGGUUGCGCGAAAGUGUUUCCUAAUCUUGAAAUCCGCUCGUGAUGGGGAUUGACGGUUGCAAUUUUCCGUCAUGAACGAGGAAUACCUUGUAAGCGCGGGUCAUCAUCCCGCGCUGAAUACGUCCCUGCCCUUUGUACACACCGCCCGUCGCUCCUACCGAUUGAGUGGUCCGGUGAGGCUUUGGGAUCUGAGCGGAAAGAGCGUUUCGCUGUUUCUGCUCGGAAAACUCAGUCGAACCUUAUCAUUUAGAGGAAGGAGAAGUCGUAACA